AGGACGAACGCUGGCGGCGUGCUUAACACAUGCAAGUCGAACGAUGAUCCCCAGCUUGCUGGGGUGAUUAGUGGCGAACGGGUGAGUAACACGUGAGUAACCUGCCCUUGACUCUGGGAUAAGCGUUGGAAACGACGUCUAAUACCGGAUACGACCAGCCCCGGCAUCGGGUGUUGGUGGAAAGAAUUUUGGUCAAGGAUGGACUCGCGGCCUAUCAGGUAGUUGGUGAGGUAAUGGCUCACCAAGCCUACGACGGGUAGCCGGCCUGAGAGGGUGACCGGGCCACACUGGGACUGAGACACGGCCCAGACUCCUACGGGAGGCAGCAGUGGGGAAUAUUGCACAAUGGGCGAAAGCCUGAUGCAGCAACGCCGCGUGAGGGACGACGGCCUUCGGGUUGUAAACCUCUUUAGCAGGAAGAAGCGAAAGUGACGUACUGCAGAAAAGCACGGCUAACUACGUGCCAGCAGCCGAC
rnacentral:rRNA from 1 species